GCUCACUUUUUCAGUCACCCGCUGACGGACACACUGGGCGUGUUCAGUUUUACCCAAUUACAAACGAGGCUGCAGUGCAAAACCCUGUGCACGCUCCUUGAGGCCUUUGCUCGAGAACCAUCCAGAACUCACCUCCUCACUCUGUACAGAUGUUCAGAAUGUCUCCGGUACAAGUCGGAAACACGAUUCUCGCCGUAGGAGCUACCUGCACGGGAUGCUGCCGAGAAUGAAGCAGACACCACACCAUGCCCGUCUGAGAUGCCAAGGAAAGCGAUUUGUCCUGAAACAAGAUGCAUUUCUACGAGUAAACGCUCAAAUACGACUGCUCCUGUCGACCCCGCUAGACGGGUGAGGUGUCGCUCUGGAUGCCACGGGUGACACGCAGGCAGGCACAGGCGUGCGGUGAGCUAGGGCGACUGCAUCGGCGACGUGAUCCGCCGAAGGGGCCCCCGCUCUUGGCACAGCUCUGGACCAAACCCAGCGCGCCCUCCCCUCCACUGCCCCCCUCAUUCCGCUCCCGGAAGACCCCUUCACGUCAACAACCUCGUCAAAACUGCUUUCAGUUUCUUUGUACGACACAGUUAGGGUCUAGAUCCGGUUCGUUAUAAACAGAGUUUUCACCAAACAAUGAUGAGAGAUUUGAAAAAUCUCAUAGGAGGUGGGACCAUUCUUUUUGGGGACUGUCCUCAGUGCCGCAGGAAGAUUGGCAUCUCAAGCCCCCAUCCAAGAAAAGCCCUCAGCACCCCCCAGUUAUUGUGACACCCAAAAACAUCCCACAAGUUUACAAACGCCCCUGCUGAGGGGCACCACACAGCUUGGCAGGUAAUGGCCAGGUGUGGCUUCCGUGGCCAUCACAUCUCCCAAUCCAGGCUCACAGGGCAGAGCUGAAGUGCUGCUACUGGGGGCUGCAAACUCAGGGUCCUGUGACAUUUCUCCCAAGCCCGGAGGACAGGGCAGUGUUCAGGACAAUGGCUGGAAGGAGCCCUGGGCUUGGUCUUCCUCAAGAGAUGCUAUCACCCCAUGCCAAGUCCAGUCACACCCUCGGGGGCUGGGACCUGGACCCCACCUUAGAGAACGGGGCCGUUUCCAAGGCAUGUAUGGACUGAGGACUGUCCUGUGGAAUACGAAUGAGCUAGUGGAUGGGCCUUUUUGGGAGUCUUUUUUUUUUCAAUUGGAGUGUAGCUUAUGUACAGAAAAGUGCACAAUGAAUUUUCAUAUAUGUAUGCACUCCACUCCAGUCGAGACGUAGAACAUUCUGGCACCCCAAGAGGUCCCCUCGUGCCCCUUGUGGCCCAUCUCACCCUCGCCCCAGCCCCUGGCAGCCCUGACCUGGCUUCCGACACUGUAGCUUCAGUCUGCCUGUCCCAGGGUCCCUAUCAUCGGAAUCGCGCUGGGCGUGUUGUUUCAUGUCUGCCUCCCUUCACUCUGCGUCAUAUUUCUGAGACUCUCCUGUGUUGCUGCACAUAUUAGGGGCUCAUUACUUUGGUUGCUAAGUAGUGUUCCAUGGGGUGGAUAUGCCACGGUGUGGUUGUCCAGUCACCUGUUGAUGGACGUUUGGGUGGUUUCCAGUUUGGGGUGAUUACGAAUACUGCCGCUGUGAAUCUCGGGGUGCAGGCCAUCGUGUGGACUUGCAUUGUCAUUUCUCUUGGGUUAAAUGCCCACAGGGCGAUUGCUGGGUGGAAUGAGAAGUGUAGGUUUGACUUUGUAAGAAACCCCUGAGCCAUUUUCCUCAGGGCUGCCCGGUCUUGAGUUCCCGCCAGCGAUGUGUGGGAGGUCCAGUUGCCUGUGUCCUCGCCAGCACUUGUUGUUAUCAGUCUCUCUGCUGGGAGCCAUCCUGGUUGGCGUGGGAUCCUUUCUCACUGUGGCUUUAUUCUCCCUGAGGAACAAUGAGGCUGACGAGAGUGGACGUUACCGAGUGGAAAGCGCCCACCUCAGGAGGCCCCUCAGCAGAACCUCUUCAUGUGAGGCCCAGAGCGAUCCCCCCAACCCCCUGGGCUCCUCUGCCCGGACUUGGGAUGGCAAAGUCUGCCUGCACAGCAAGCCCCCUGGGGCCCGAGGAGGGUGCCUCUGGGUAGCCGAAACCUGGAGCAGGAGUUCCCCACACUGUUCCAGAGGGAAGAGGCCACAGCCUGGGGCUGACGACUGACCCUGAGACCCCAGCCCCUGAGUAGACGGGGUCAGAGUAAACAGCGUGGCUUGGGGACCAGCCCUGUGAUGGAGCGCCCACUGCCGUUUCCCACUAUGGGACUCUGGGCGAGGAAUCUCCUCUUUCACCUCGGUUUCCUCAUCUGUCAGGUGGGUAUCACAAUAGGACCGUCUCACAGGGACGUUGUGCGGAGCAUCUCCCCUGGUGCCUGGCGCCCAGCGCGUGCUCAAGACGGCAAAGGCACAGCAACACCUUCACUCCCCCACAAGGGCACAGCCACCCUUCAGAAAGAUCUGCCUUACAGAGCCUGGGACGUCUUCACUCUCUCUUAUUCACUCUUUUUUUUUUUUAGACACCAAAGCCUGGUUGGGAGCUGCCCUUGCCCGGUUUGAGCAUCGCGAUCCCGGGAAGGCCUGUGAAAAUGCCGGCACUGCUGGGCCCCAGCCCGGGGGUCUCGCUCGGCAGGGCUGGGCUGGGCUGAGGAGUUGCGUUUCCAGCAAGUUUCUAGACGGUGCUGAUGCUGCCGGCCCGGGGACCACCCUUUGGGGACGCUGGAGCGUCAUAUCCGUUAGCCUCCUGGGUCUCCACCUGGCUGGGUGUCAGAGUCACCUGGGGACACUUUAGAACCACAUGUGCCCUUCCCUGCCCCCCCGGGACUGUGAUUCCGUUGGUUUGGGGGGACCCCAGGGCAUCCGCGUAUGUGAGAAGCCCCCCAAGGGGACUCCCAGUUAACCGCCGGGUGAGAACCGCGGCCUCAGCCCAAAGCCACCUCUCCCUCUGCCUCAAGGAGCCCUGUGAAUCCCCGUCUUGCUGUGAGGACCGUUUACACAGAGAGACGCGGGGAACCAGCCCUACCCGCCAUGAGGACACCGAGCUCCUCGGUGUUGGAUGUCACUAUAAACCACCUCUUCAAGAUGGCUCUAAAAAGCAGCACAGUGAGCGGUUCCUCCAGGAGUGCAUUAAUAAUACAGGCCCACAGAGCAAGGGAGACAGUGUCCUAAUUUAUGCAGAAGGGCAUCUGCGGCCCGGGGUAGCAUUUCCAGCGGCUGCGUCACACUCGGAUUCAGAACCUGCCGUGUCUGAACCGUUGUGGACACGAGGGGUGCAGACACAUCAGCCGCCCUGUUUGAUGACUCAAACCACGACGCCAGAGGCGGGCAGGGAGCCGGAGGACAGUGCUCCGCGGACCGCAAGGAGAAACAGGACCAGUGAGCUCCAGCCUCCAGGAAGCUGAUGGUAGGACGGAAAGCCUACGUACAGAUAAAGACAAUACUGUGAUGAUGCCACUGCACUGAGAAAUGCAAAAGGGUUCAAGGUGUGGGUUCCACCCACAGGAAAAAGGACUGGCCGUGAUGGAACUUCCCACACAGAGGGAAGGGGUGCUGGGAGAGCCGCUGAGGCAUUUGAACGGAGACUGAAAAAAAGAGAGGAACAGAGCCUUGCGAAUAUCUUGGGGAAGACAAUACCUGGCAGUGGGAACGAUCCAGGACCUCUGCCCACAGCGGGAUCCAGUGUGCCCGUCCAGCAUUCUCAGGGCCUCCGGGAUGGAAGCAUUCAUCUUCGUGCCUCCCCAUCUGCCUCCUGCCCUCCUUCUCGCUGAGCUGACGGAGCAGCCAAGGGCAGGGGGGCUGGGGGGGAGGUGGGCGGCAGCCAGUCCCAGAGGCUGAGCUCUUCUAGGGCUGUGUCUUCCCAGCUCCGUCUGCACAGUGCAUCUCGGCUCUGGGAAUGAGCACUUAUUCAGCACCUCUUGGAUGCACAGCACUGACCUCUGCUCGGCACUGCAUGGAGCCAGGCACACCACCACAUCUGCCUUCCGUGACAGUCGCUCUUUGUAUUUUUAUGGCCCUUGAGAGUUUACUUUGUCUUCCUGCCAGGCCUGUGUCCCCUGGGGAGGCAGGAAGACAGUGCUGAAGGGACCUGCUUGGUGAUUAGAAAAGUGAGGGGAGGCAGAGGAGCUGAGGCCCUGGAACGCAGCUCUCUUGCUCCCUCCCUGCCCGGCCGACUCAGCCGCGCAGGAAUCACACCCACUGGGUGCUCCUGCCCUGUGGGGGCUGCUGGGGAUGGGGCCAGCUUCCUGAGUGUGCCACUUGCGCAGCCGCAUGGGGACCCAAACUUGGCUUCAUGCUCGACUGUCGCCAUCUUGAAAUUCUUAAUCAUUUUUGAACAAGAGACCCUGUGUUUUCGUUCUGCACGAGGCCCCACAAAUUACAUGGCCGGCCUGGACAGGGGCCCGGUUCCGGCUGUGCACACGGGGGCCCUGCAGCCGGCACAGAUCUGAGAUGCAGCCUGGACUCCAGGCCCCAAACGCUGCGGCCUGCAGAUCCCCACCUCUUGGCCAGAAGCCGCUGGAACCCCUCCGGCCCCGUGCUGCUGCGGAAGAACCUCUGUGGUGUCUGGUUUUGAUUAAAUAUCCAGAGUCACUCAUUAACUUGCCCCACGGACAGACUUGGAAGCCCUCCCAUAUAAAACCGUCCUUCCCAUGGCUGCCCAGCCCCGUCCCAGCCGCCCACAGCUCCUGCUGGAAAGCAGGAGCCCCUGGUUCAGGGACUGCAGACCGGAGGCGGCGGGAUGGCCUGCAGUCCUGCGAAGGCCGCAUCGUCCAUCGUGCGAGGCCCCCAGCUCAGCUCUCUCCUCUCCUCACUGGGGUCGGAGGCCGUCGUCUACCUCAUCCCGUUUUAGGGGUCCCGGAGGCCUCUCCCUACUUUGGCUGCUGGAUCUGAAAUUCCAUCACAGCCAGUCCUUUUUCCUGUGGGUGGAACCCACACCUCGAACCCUUUUGCAUUUCUCAGUGCAGUUGCUGCAAUGGUUUAUUUACCCAUCUGUGUCCCCACCAGGCCAGAGCUUUGCAGGGCAAAGUUGGCACCCCCUGCACUCAUUCUUCCAGAAACUACUCCCAGGAGCCCCCUGUGUGCCUGGUGCAAGGACUCUAGCACCACUUUUGGGUCCUCAACACUAGGCAAAAGGUCCUCCCUGGUUGGGGCCCUCUGAGUAUUUGCUGAAUGAAUGAACAGAUGAAAAUUACAGCUUACAUUUCCAGGUCCUCGCACUGUUUUAGUCGGUUCGUGUGCAUUUCCUCCCUUACUUCUCACAGUAACCCCGAGCUGAGCGCUCUGCCUGUCCCCAUUUUACAGAGGAGGACACCGAGGCACUCAGGAGUGUCACUUAGAGCGCUCACAACGCACACACGUGACCCCUGCAGCCGGAAGCCCGUGGAUUUACCGGCGGGCCGGGUUCAGAGCCAGAUCAGGGGAGCAUCUCCAGCCGGUGUUGCUUCCCCCCAGCCCCGAGUGGCAGGGACAGUCUACUCGCACAGACAUGUCACUGCUGUGCCAGCCUCCCCGCGUGCGCAGCGCCACGUGGCUCCGAGGUUCGCCCUCCGGUGGGACAGCCCACCCCUCGCUGCCUUUAAGAAAACAAGGCCCCUCGG
rnacentral:lncRNA from 1 species